UGCAUUCUGCAAAACGUGAGCCCAACAGGAAGCUGCCUGCAAAUUCAGGUAGCUUUUCUUACUCUUAACCAGGUCUUGAAUAUACUUUCAGAGAAAUGCCAGCAAGAACUAUAAUCAUCUGGGGAAGAACAAAUCUGGAAGAAAAACACACAGAGGACUAGCACCAAGAGGGACUUUGUAUUUGCUGUGUAACAAAUCACCUCAAAACCUGGUGGCUUAAAACAAUAAUCGUACAGCAUUGCUCACAAGUCUAAAGUCCACAGCUCAUAAUGAUGACAAUCCUGAGGAUAUAGGAAAAUGACUUCCCAUGCAAGAAGAAACUAUCAAAAGAAGAGAUAAGAGUGUGCCAUGAAAUUUAAAAAAAGAAAGGAAGGUGGAGAAAUGGAGAACAAGAUAAAGGCCUGGAAUCCCUGCUGCUCCAGAAAGGGAAGAAGGACUCCGAAAACAGUAAGAAGUCAGGACUGUUAACACCAAUGGAGGUUCCUCAUAGGACCACAGAAACUGGAUCUGCAUGCACUCUCUAAAAAGAAGUAGAAGAAGAAGAAAAGAAAAAGAAAGAAAUAUUAUGAAGAACUUUAUGCCAAUAACUUAACAACUUUAAUAAAAUGCACAUAUGUACUGAAUAGCAUGAGCUUCCAUAGCUCAUUCAGGAUGGAAGAACUAGAUUUUGAUUAGCCCUGUAUCUAUUAAGAAGUUAAAUCUUUUUUUCUCCUUUUUUUAAAAAAAGAUUUCUUUCUUUUUUUUCUUGUUACUCUAAUAAAAAGGCAAAAGUAAAAAAAAAUUUUUUUCAGGGGUACAGGUCUGUGAUUCAUCAGUUUUACAUAAUACCCAUUGCUUAUUACAACACAUACCCUCCCCAAUCUACUUUUUAACUGCAAUCUGUUAAAGAAGUUGAAUGAAAAUCCUUUCCACAAAGAAAAUUCACUGGUGAACUCUACCAAGCACUUAAGAAAGACAGAACAUCUAAACAAACUCUUCUAGAAAACUGAAGAAGAGGAAAUACUUUCUAACUCAUUUUCUGAGACUAGUAUUAGUUGACUACCAAAACCAGGCAAAGAUAGUAAUGAAAACUAAAGACCAAUAUCCCCCAGGAGGACAGAUGUAAAAACCCUUAGCAAAACUUUAGCAAGUUAAAUGUGACAAUACAGAAAAAAAUACCAUAGCUCAGGACCAAGCAGGGCUCAUCCCAGAAGUACAGUGCUAGAAGAAGGGCAAGGAGGCUGGUGUGGCUGGACUGAAUGAGCUGGGAAGUGGGAAGAAAUCUGAGCAGUAAAAGGAAGGAGAUCAUGAGGUCUGGGCACAUGUUCUGACUUAACUGGUUUCAAUGACCCUGAACUAAAUGGGUAAUACUAAUGGUAAGCAUUUGAGACCCUUUUAUAGGCAGACAGGGAGGAUUUGGGGGGUAGCAUAAGUAUCACAGAGAAUUGUUAACCUGAUCCUAAGGAUUUGGAUUUUCAAUCCCAGGGAGAGGUACCUGGGAAGCCAUUACAGGGUCUAGAGCAGAAGAGUGAUAUACCAUCAUUUGUGUUUUAACAGUCUAUUUUGUUGAGAACAUAUUUUAAUAGAGUAAGGUUAGAAUCAGGGAGACCAACUAAUAAUAUGUAAAGCAAAGUAUUUUGUAAAUAAUAAACAAGUCAAUAUUAAGAAUCAGUAUUGCAGUAACAGUCAUUUUCUUAAUGUACCAUUUCUGACUAGCUGCUCUACAUAGACUACUUAUAAAUAACAGUCUUUUGAUAAAAUACAUUUUGGUGGGGAGGACUCUCAGAGGAAUGUGGGGAACCUGCUUGGAUGUGUACUAAAGUACAAUGGCACUAAUCGUUCAUUGUCAAAAACAAAAUGUCAUGCUGAAUGAUAGGACUCUGGAAUAAUACGGCAUUCCCUAAUGUGAUGUACUUGGUCCUGACUUGAUUGUGAUGUCAGAAAUACACAAUAUUUAACAUUAUUCCAAAGAGCUGGUCUCCCUUAAACCACCCACCUACAGUCAUCGUUCACCUGACUGAUGGUCAGAGACCCCCUGUAGGGUUUAAUUCCUACUUGUGCCAGAGUAAUCCAGAAGAAGCUCUAUCUGCUACUAGGAACAAAAGUUCCCAGGGCCUAAAGAUAGUGGAUAUAAUAUUUAUCUACAAUGGCCAGAGACAAUUUAAACCUUUCAGGAAGUAAAGAACCAGAAAGACUAAGAACAUAGAACCAAGGCUACAGCCAGGUAAAUGGAACCAAAGAUCAAGUCCAAGACAUGAAGCACCCAUGGGUAACAAGCUUGUGUUGAGGAGGAAUUGGAAUCAGAGACUACUGUCUUGUGAAGCUGUUUUAUAGAAUGUAUAACCAUCAGGACCAGGCCACGGUAAUCCUGACUUUAACCCAGGAGAAAGGAGAAUGGGGAUGUUUGAGGCUGGCCUCCAGGUACCUAAUCUGACCAUGUGAAUCAGUCUUAUAAAACUUAAAUAAACCUACCUUCCUUGGCUUCUAUCCACCUGAUAGGAUACACAGAGAACUUGCCAGGCUGUGGGUCCUCAUGC